rnacentral:rRNA from 1 species
ACGAACGCUGGCGGCGUGCUUAACACAUGCAAGUCGCACGGAAAGGCCCUGCUUUUGUGGGGUGCUCGAGUGGCGAACGGGUGAGUAACAUGUGAGUAACCUGCCCUUGACUUUGGGAUAACUUCAGGAAACUGGGGCUAAUACCGGAUAGGAGCUCCUGCUGCAUGGUGGGGGUUGGAAAGUUUCGGCGGUUGGGGAUGGACUCGCGGCUUAUCAGCUUGUUGGUGGGGUAGUGGCUUACCAAGGCUUUGACGGGUAGCCGGCCUGAGAGGGUGACCGGCCACAUUGGGACUGAGAUACGGCCCAGACUCCUACGGGAGGCAGCAGUGGGGAAUAUUGCACAAUGGGCGGAAGCCUGAUGCAGCAACGCCGCGUGCGGGAUGACGGCCUUCGGGUUGUAAACCGCUUUCGCCUGUGACGAAGCGUGAGUGACGGUAAUGGGUAAAGAAGCACCGGCUAACUACGUG